rnacentral:snRNA from 1 species
GUGCUCGCUUAGGCAGCACAUAUACUAAAAGUGGAAUGGUACAGAGAAGUUUAGCAUGGCCCCUGCACAAGGAUGGCAUGCAAAUUUGUGAAGCGUUCCAUAUUUUU